rnacentral:rRNA from 1 species
CCUACGGGUGGCAGCAGUGAGGAAUAUUGGUCAAUGGACGCAAGUCUGAACCAGCCAUGCCGCGUGCAGGAAGACGGCCCUAUGAGUUGUAAACUUCUUUUGUACGAGAGUAAACGCAGAUACGUGUAUCUUUCUGAAAGUAUCGUACGAAUAAGGAUCGGCUAACUCCGUGCCAGCAGCCGCGGUAAUACGGAGGAUUCAAGCGUUAUCCGGAUUUAUUGGGUUUAAAGGGUGCGUAGACGGGUUGUUAAGUUAGAUGUGAAAUUCUGAGGCUCAACCUCGGAAUUGCAUCUGAUACUGGUCGGCUAGAGAGUAGUUGAGGUAGGCGGAAUGUAUGAUGUAGCGGUGAAAUGCUUAGAGAUCAUAAAGAACCCCGAUUGCGAAGGCAGCUUACUAAGCUACGUCUGACGUUGAGGCACGAAAGCGUGGGGAGCAAACAGGAUUAGAUACCCUAGUAGUC